rnacentral:rRNA from 1 species
UCAGGCCUAACACAUGCAAGUCGAGCGGACAGAAGGGAGCUUGCUCCCGGAUGUUAGCGGCGGACGGGUGAGUAACACGUGGGUAACCUGCCUGUAAGACUGGGAUAACUCCGGGAAACCGGAGCUAAUACCGGAUAGUCCCUUGAACCGCAUGGUUCAAGGAUGAAAGACGGUUUCGGCUGUCACUUACAGAUGGACCCGCGGCGCAUUAGCUAGUUGGUGGGGUAAUGGCUCACCAAGGCGACGAUGCGUAGCCGACCUGAGAGGGUGAUCGGCCACACUGGGACUGAGACACGGCCAAGACUCCUACGGGAGGCAGCAGUAGGGAAUCUUCCGCAAUGGACGAAAGUCUGACGGAGCAACGCCGCGUGAGUGAUGAAGGUUUUCGGAUCGUAAAGCUCUGUCGUUAGGGAAGAACAAGUGCGAGAGUAACUGCUCGCACCUUGACGGUACCUAACCAGAAAGCCACGGCUAACUACGUGCCAGCAGCCGCGGUAAUACGUAGGUGGCAAGCGUUGUCCGGAAUUAUUGGGCGUAAAGGGCUCGCAGGCGGUUUCUUAAGUCUGAUGUGAAAGCCCCCGGCUCAACCGGGGAGGGUCAUUGGAAACUGGGAAACUUGAGUGCAGAAGAGGAGAGUGGAAUUCCACGUG